AUGCCCGGUUGUGAACUAGAGGUAUAUGUGAAGCAUAUGAGAUUCCUAAAAAGAAUCAUUGUUGGAAUAGUAUAAGGCUAGCUUAAUACGUGUUAUAGUGUCAGUUGUGGAGUUAUAGAAAUACUAGUAUAAAUGGAAUGGAUUACGUAUAUGUGUGUGUACGUAGGUAAGUAAUUAUAUGGUUGUAUGUGUGCGCAAGAAUAUGAUUACAAAAUGCAUAGGAUGUCGUUAGUAUGGUCCACUACAUCAAUAUGGACAUAUGUUCUUGAGUUGGAAAUUUGUAUGCUUGACUGUUGACUUUCUGAAAAGUCAACGAAUAUGCGAAUGGUAUGGUUCGACUUAUGAAUGCUACUGUAAGGUUUAGGAAUAAUUAUGUGUCACAAGUUAGGCUAAUGACGUGUUAGACGUGUGUGUGUUUAAUACGAUGAAACGAUAGAUUACAUGAGUUUGAAAUGACAUGAACUUGGUUACAUGUAUUAUGCUUGUUAGA
rnacentral:lncRNA from 1 species